rnacentral:rRNA from 1 species
CCUACGGGUGGCUGCAGUGAGGAAUAUUGGUCAAUGGUCGGGAGACUGAACCAGCCAAGCCGCGUGAAGGAUGACUGCACUGAGGGUUGUAAACUUCUUUUAUCAGGGAAUAAAGAGUGGCACGUGUGCCCUUUUGUGUGUACCUUAUGAAUAAGGAUCGGCUAACUCCGUGCCAGCAGCCGCGGUAAUACGGAGGAUCCGAGCGUUAUCCGGAUUUAUUGGGUUUAAAGGGAGCGUAGGUGGGUUGUUAAGUCAGUUGUGAAAGUUUGCGGCUCAACCGUAAAAUUGCAGUUGAGACUGGCAGUCUUGAGUACAGUAGAGGUAGGCGGAAUGCGUGGUGUAGCGGUGAAAUGCUUAGAUAUCACGAAGAACUCCGAUUGCGAAGGCAGCUUACU